AAGCAUGCAAGUCGAGCGGCAAGGCAGGAGCUUGCUUCUGCUCUAGAGUGGCGAACUGGUGAGUAACACGUGGGUAAUCUACCUUUAGGUUGGGGAUAGCUACUAGAAAUAGUAGAUAAUACCGAAUAAGCUUAUAUGUUAAAUCAUGUAAGGAAAAAAGCUAAGGCUUUGCCUGAAGAGGAGCCUGCGUCCCAUUAGCUAGUUGGUGUGGUAAUGGCAUACCAAGGCAACGAUGGGUAUCCGACCUGAGAGGGUGACCGGACACAUUGGGACUGAGACACAGCCCAGACUCCUACGGGAGGCAGCAGCUAAGAAUAUUCCGCAAUGGA
rnacentral:rRNA from 1 species